AUGAACGCUGGCGGCGUGCUUAACACAUGCAAGUCGAGCGAGAACGUUCCUUCGGGAACUAGUACAGCGGCGGACGGGUGAGUAACACGUGAGAAUCUGCCCUUCAGUGAAGAAUACUCUCGGGAAACCGAGGUUAAUGCUGCAUACGUCCCUUCGGGGAGAAAAGUGGCUUUUGCUGCUGCUGAAGGAUGAGCUCGCGUACUAUUAGCUAGUUGGUGGGGUAAAGGCCUACCAAGGCAAUGAUGGUUAGCCGGCCUGAGAGGGUGAUCGGCCACAUUGGAACUGAGAUACGGUCCAGACUCCUACGGGAGGCAGCAGUGAGGAAUUUUGCGCAAUGGGCGAAAGCCUGACGCAGCGACGCCGCGUGGGGGAUGAAGGUUUUAGGAUCGUAAACUCCUGUUAAGUGGGAAGAAAAGCCUGUCAAUAAUACGGACAGGUCAUGACGGUACCAUUAGAGAAAGCACCGGCUAACUUCGUGCCAGCAGCCGCGGUAAUACGAGGGGUGCAAGCGUUAUUCGGAAUUACUGGGCGUAUAGGGUGUGCAGGCGGCAUGUUAAGUCAAUCGUUUAAUUUCCCGGCCUAACCGGGAGUCGGCGAUAGAUACUGGCAAGCUAGAGAUUGGGAGAGAGAAGUGGAAUUCUCGGAGUAGCGGUAAAAUGCGUAGAUCUCGAGAGGAACACCAAUGGCGAAGGCAGCUUCUUGGCCCAUAUCUGACGCUCAUACACGAAAGCGUGGGUAGCAAACAGGAUUAGAUACCCUGGUAGUCCACGCCGUAAACGAUGAUCACUAGAUGUUAGUCCCGCUUGCGGGAUUAGUAUCGUAGCUAACGCGUUAAGUGAUCCGCCUGGGGAGUACGGUCGCAAGAUUAAAACUCAAAGAAAUUGACGGGGGUCCGCACAAGCGGUGGAACAUGUGGUUUAAUUCGAUACUACGCGAGGAACCUUACCUGGGUUUGACAUGCUUUUGACAGCUAUAGAGAUAUAGUCUUCCAAGUUUACUUGGACAAUUGCACAGGUGCUGCAUGGUUGUCGUCAGCUCGUGUCGUGAGAUGUCUGGUUAAGUCCUUUAACGAGCGCAACUCUCGUCGUCAGUUGCUAUCCUUCGGGAGCACUCUGGCGAGACUGCCUGGGUAACCAGGAGGAAGGUGGGAAUGACGUCAAAUCAUCAUGGCCCUUAUGCCCAGGGCUACACACGUGUUACAAUGGCCAGUACAAAGGGCUGCCAACUCGUAAGAGUGAGCUAAUCCCAGAAAACUGGUCCAAGUUCGGAUUGAGGUCUGCAAUUCGACCUCAUGAAGUUGAAAUCGCUAGUAAUCGCGUAUCAGAACGACGCGGUGAAUACGUUCUCGGACCUUGUACACACCGCCCG
rnacentral:rRNA from 1 species